UAGGAAAACAUUGCCAGCGCUGGCCCUGUCGUCAUGGAACCCCUGGGCCAUCUCCUGAGAAACUUGGUGAAGGCAAAAUGCUCAGAGUACACAGACCCUGGAGGAGCAGCAAGGAGCUUAUGGCUCAUUCAUCUUUAAUUCUACAGCAAAAUUCCUAAAGGGCUUCUUGUAUUAAGAAAGAUGUCAGGGAGGAGGUAGAGGAAGAACAGGAAUUCAGAGCAAUAUUUGGGAAAUAAAGUUUUCCAGAAGUCAAGAAAUAUCCUUAUGUCCACUGAGACAAAAGAUUUUAGUAAAGCAGCUCUGUCUAAUCAUUCAGUCAAACAUGAGCCUCAAUGCUAAGAUCAUCAUCAAUUUUUGGAAAGACUAUUUUGGACUAUGUGAAAUUUUAAGAAGUACCUAACCUGGAGACAUAAUCAAGUCCAAUGAGAGUGGUUACCAUCUAACCAACUGGCAUAUACAUUCACUGUAA
rnacentral:lncRNA from 10 species